CACACUGCCAAGAAAAGCCUCUAGGAGAGUCUUGGUGCCCGUACCGCAAACCGACACAGGUAGGCGAGGAGAGAAUCCUCAGGUGCUCGGGAGAACUCUCGUUAAGGAACUCGGCAAAAUGACCCCGUAACUUCGGGAGAAGGGGUGCCCCCUUUUGGGGGCCGCAGUGAAGAGGUCCAGGCGACUGUUUAGCAAAAACACAGGUCUCUGCGAAGCCGUAAGGCGAAGUAUAGGGGCUGACGCCUGCCCGGUGCUGGAAGGUUAAGGGGAUGUGUUAGCUUAAAGCGAAGCAUUGAACUGAAGCCCCAGUAAACGGCGGCCGUAACUAUAACGGUCCUAAGGUAGCGAAAUUCCUUGUCGGGUAAGUUCCGACCCGCACGAAAGGCGUAACGAUCUGGACGCUGUCUCAACGAGAGACCCGGUGAAAUUGUACUGCCAGUGAAGAUGCUGGCUACCCGCGACAAGACGGAAAGACCCCGUGGAGCUUUACUGCAGCUUGAUAUUGAUCUCGGGUACGACUUGUACAGGAUAGGUGGGAGUCGAUGAUUUGGGGACGCCAGUCUCCAAGGAGACGUCGGUGGGAUACCACUCUGGUCGUAUCGGAGUUCUAACUCAGAACCGUCAUCCGGUUCGAGGACCGUGUCAGGCAGGCAGUUUGACUGGGGCGGUCGCCUCCUAAAAUGUAACGGAGGCGCUCCAAGGUUCCCUCAGCGCGGUCGGAAAUCGCGCCUAUAGAGUGCAAAGGCAUAAGGGAGCUUGACUGCGAGACCUACAAGUCGAGCAGGGACGAAAGUCGGACUUAGUGAUCCGGUGGUUCCUUGUGGAAGGGCCAUCGCUCAACGGAUAAAAGCUACCCCGGGGAUAACAGGCUUAUCUCCCCCAAGAGUCCACAUCGACGGGGAGGUUUGGCACCUCGAUGUCGGCUCAUCGCAUCCUGGGGCUGUAUUCGGUCCCAAGGGUUGGGCUGUUCGCCCAUUAAAGCGGUACGCGAGCUGGGUUCAGAACGUCGUGAGACAGUUCGGUCCCUAUCUGUCGCGGGCGUAGGAAAUUUGAGAGGAGCUGUCCCUAGUACGAGAGGACCGGGAUGGACAUACCCCUGGUGUACCAGUUGUCUCGCCAGAGGCACCGCUGGGUAGCCAAGUAUGGACGGGAUAAGCGCUGAAAGCAUCUAAGCGCGAAGCCCCCCUCAAGAUGAGAUUUCCCAUUCCUUCGUGGAAGUAAGACCCCUUGUAGAUGACGAGGUAGAUCGGUCUGAGGUGGAAGCAUGGUAACAUGUGUAGCUGACAGAUACGAAUCGGUCGAGGGCUUUUCCUC
rnacentral:rRNA from 1 species